rnacentral:lncRNA from 1 species
AAGUAACCGUUGUCUCCGUUGUCUCCAUUCUCUCUUCAUUACGCGUUUUUCCUCUCGCCUCUCUGGCCAUGGCGUCUGGAGAUGUCGUCUUCCCGAUUGAGCGUUCUCCGUCGGCCCUUCUUCGCUUUUGUUUUCCGUUUCUUGAUCGAUUGAUUGUUGAUGGGGGCCGAUUGCUUUGUUUGUCCUUGAUUUUGUGAAGCAUCUUCUGGUUGCAGAGAUCCACUUCUAUGUUGCGGGAGAUUCUUGAGGGUUUCGCUUACCCUACGAUUUUUAUUGGCGUCUGGCGAUAUCAUCUUCUUCCGGAGAGAAGACGUGGUUGUAGCGAUGAUCCCGAUUGAACGUUUCUCCGUCGGCCUCUCUCCUUUUUGGUUUCCGUUUCUUGAUUGAUUGUUGAUGGGGGAUCGAUUGCUUUCUCGGUCUGAUUUUGCGAGGCGUCUUCUGGU